rnacentral:rRNA from 1 species
GACGAACGCUGGCGGCGUGCUUAACACAUGCAAGUCGAACGGAAAGGCCCUGCUUUUGUGGGGUGCUCGAGUGGCGAACGGGUGAGUAACACGUGAGUAACCUGCCCUUGACUUUGGGAUAACUUCAGGAAACUGGGGCUAAUACCGGAUAGGAGCUCCUGCUGCAUGGUGGGGAUUGGAAAGUUUCGGCGGUUGGGGAUGGACUCGCGGCUUAUCAGCUUGUUGGUGGGGUAGUGGCUUACCAAGGCUUUGACGGGUAGCCGGCCUGAGAGGGUGACCGGCCACAUUGGGACUGAGAUACGGCCCAGACUCCUACGGGAGGCAGCAGUGGGGAAUAUUGCACAAUGGGCGGAAGCCUGAUGCAGCAACGCCGCGUGCGGGAUGACGGCCUUCGGGUUGUAAACCGCUUUAGCCUGUGACGAAGCGUGAGUGACGGUAAUGGGUAAAGAAGCACCGGCUAACUACGUG